UCCGCUCUAAUCCCCCAAAUCCUCAAAUUCCUCUUUUCUAGUGUUAGGGUUUCCUCCAACCUUUACACGCACAAGCUUACCCACCGAUAAAUUCAAUCUCUUUGUAUUCAAUUGAUAAAUAUGGCGUCUUCAACAGCUCAAAUUCACGCUGUUGGAGCCACAUAUUUUACAACUUCCUCUUCUUCCAGUAGAAAACCCUCAAAGACAGUGUUUUUAGGUCAAAACAUAAACAACAGAACCCUAGCGUUCGGAUUGAAGCAGAAGAAGAGCAGCUUCAGCCGGAGGAAUGGCGGUGGUCACGCGCCACUGCGUGUGGUGGCGGAGAAGGUGGUGGGAAUUGACUUGGGGACCACCAAUUCCGCCGUGGCUGCUAUGGAAGGAGGGAAGCCCACCAUAGUGACCAACGCUGAAGGGCAGAGGACAACACCUUCAGUGGUGGCUUAUACUA
rnacentral:lncRNA from 1 species